GGUCAAGCUAGAAAGAGCGCAAGGGGAAUGCCUUGGCAUCAGGAGCCGACGAAGGACGUGACAAGCUGCGAUAAGCUGCGGUGAGUUGCACAUAAGCUUUGACCCGCAGAUUUCCGAAUGGGGAAACCCGGCAGAGCAAUACUCUGUCAGCGUGCGUUGAAUCAAAUAGGCGUACGCGGGGAACCGCCUGAACUGAAACAUCUAAGUAGGGCGAGGAAGAGAAAUCAACCGAGAUUCCGCUAGUAGUGGCGAGCGAACGCGGAAGAGGGCAAACCGGAGGAUUUAUCCUCCGGGGUUGUGGACAGUUUUUUAGCAACUGGAACUAGGAGAACGGUAUGGGAAGGCCGGCCAUAGCGGGUGAUAGCCCCGUAUCCGAAAGGGAAGGUUGUGCGACUGGAUCCAGAGUACCGCCGGACACGUGAAACCCGGUGGGAAGCUGGGGGGACCACCCUCCAACCCUAAAUACUACCUGAUGACCGAUAGAGGAGCAGUACCGUGAGGGAAAGGUGAAAAGGACCCCGGGAGGGGAGUGAAAGAGAACCUGAAACCUUGUGCUUACAAGCACUCAAAGCCCGUUAAAGGGUGAUGAGGUACCUUUUGUAGAAUGGUCCGGCGAGUUAUUGUUACUGGCAAGCUUAAGGCAUUCAGUGCCGGAGGCGCAGGGAGACCGAGUCUGAAUAGGGCGUAUGAAGUCAGUGGCAAUAGACCCGAAACCGGGUGACCUAUCCAUGGGCAGGUUGAAGUGGGGGUAAAACCCCAUGGAGGACCGAACGCACGCCCGUUGCAAUGGUCGGCGAUGACCUGUGGAUAGCGGUGAAAUUCCAAUCGAACUCGGAGAUAGCUGGUUCUCCCCGAAAUAGCUUUAGGGCUAGCGUUGGCUUAGAUUACCGGAGGUAAAGCACUGAAUGGGCUAGGGGCCGAUAAGGUUACUGAACCCUAUCAAACUCUGAAUGCCGGAUAAUUGAUGGCCAGCAGUCAGUCUACGUGAGAUAAGUCUCGUGGACAAAAGGGAAACAGCCCAGACCCACAGCUAAGGUCCCAAAGAUACGCUAAGUGGAAAACGAUGUGGAGUUGCGAAAACAACCAGGAUGUUGGCUUAGAAGCAGCCACUCAUUAAAAGAGUGCGUAAUAGCUCACUGGUCGAGUGACUCUGCGCGGAAAAUAUAACGGGGCUAAGCGUAACACCGAAGCUUGGGCUGCACAGCAAUGUGCGGGGUAGGGGAGCGUCGAAUAUGGGGUGAAGUCGCAGCGGAAGCAGCGGUGGACUGUAUUCGAGUGAGAAUGCCGGAAUGAGUAGCGAGAAUUAUGUGGGAAUCAUAAUGGCCGAAAAUCUAAGGUUUCCUGGGGAAGGUUCGUCCGCCCAGGGUAAGCCGGGAGCUAAGGCGAGGCCGGAAGGCGUAGUCGAUGCACAUACGGUUGAAAUUCCGUAGCCACCGAACCUUAAGUACACUGACACAUGGAGAUAGCGGGACCCGGGCGUUGGUUGACCCGGGCGUAAGGGACCGAACUUUAGUAGGGAAGUCCGCGAUGCUCUGUGGCGAGAAAAGGUGUAUGGUAUGCUAAGGUGCCCGUACCGCAAACCGACACAGGUAGAUGAGGAGAGAAUCCUAAGGCCAACGGGAGAAGGGUUGUUAAGGAACUCGGCAAAAUGACCCCGUAACUUCGGGAUAAGGGGAGCCUCCUACGGGAGGCCGCAGCGAAUAGGCCCAAGCGACUGUUUACCAAAAACACAGGUCUCUGCUAAAUCGAAAGAUGACGUAUAG
rnacentral:rRNA from 1 species